GAGAGUGGUCCCUGCUCCGCGGGUUCGCUGUUCCGUUGCUGCCUGCGGCCGCGAUCUCCUCUGCAGCCUCCGGUGCCUUGCUCUCCGAGCUCCCAGGCCGUUCUCCUAGACGCAGCAUUGGUUUCUGGUUUCCGAAGGAAUGUUCGGGCUUGGCAGAGACCAGACUGUAUGGCUUGUUUCUAAUGAAAAGACUGUGACAGAAGUGACAGCAUGAGACUUCCAAAAUGAGGUCAUAAAAGGCAUCCCAGAUGCUACCUUGCUCCUCCUUGGAUCACUUGCUCUGGAGAAAACCAGCUGCUAUGUCAUGAGGACCCUUAAGCAGCUCUAUAGAGAGACCCACAUGGCAAGGAAUGGAGGCCUCCUGCCAACAGCCAGCACUGACUUGCCAGUCCCAGUCAAGCCUUCAGAUGACAUCUUGUCUAUAACCUGUGGCUGCACACACUUUAUAUUCUCACCACCAAUGCAUAAGAUUCUAAUUUUUCGGGGUCCGAGCAAGAUGGCGGCAUAGGUAAACACCGGAGACUGCUGCUGCAAAC